CCGACUCGGAUAUGGUCCCAUCUCCAUUUCUCCUCGCUCUUUUCGCUGUUUCUCCUCCUUCUCUUUGCCUCAAAAAUCCUAAGAAACUCAUCUCUUAACAAACCCUAACAAACUCAUCUGUGUUUCGUUCUUUUCUCUCGUUGUUGUUUCUCAGACAACAAAUUUCACAAGCCGAACGAGAUAAGGUCCAAUCAAAAAUUAAAAAUCGAUCUUAAUUCUUCAUCCGUGAUUUGAGAAGAUAAACCCUAGAACCCAGUAAACGAAAUUAAUAUGCUCUCAUAACAGAUCUAUAUUCUAGUGAACAACUUAUUUCAAUGGGUUGGGUAAUGAUGAGAAUGAUUUUGAUGUUACUGCUUCUGAGAUUUUUGCAGCGAAAACAGGGAGCCUUGAUAGCAGAUUUGUUGUUAUGAUGAAAAUUGGGAAAUGCACCUUAGGACUUCCAGGAGCUCUUAAAUGUAAUAAUCUCUUAGUUCUCUAUAUAUAGUAUUUCUCAGCAGAAGGUUAUCGUUGCAUGCUUGUUCCUUGUGUUCGGGGUAGUAAAACUGCAUGUACAGCUGAGGAGAGCAAGAAAGUCCAUGCAUCAGGAUUUGGUUCUCUUGACUCGAUGAGUUGUGUACUGGUUAAGUACAAGGGGUCUUGAAAAUAGAACCAAACUAGAUCACCAUGGAGAAUAAAUUGGAAACUCAUUGGAAUGGACUUUACCACAGAUAAGUUGAUAUCUCUUGUAAGAAAGUGGCAGACAUUGAUUGAAGACAACAGACAACUUCACCUUGAGGAUGUUCUGCAUUAGAUUCACCAUGAAGCGAGACAAACAGGUCAAGAGAACCUGUUAUGCUCAAUCUAGCCAGAUUCUACAGGUGAAGUUAUGUCUUUGGAUUUCAACAUUUUCUUAUUAUUUAAUGAUUGUAGCAUCUGUAUUGUUUUGUCAGAUUUGUCGCAAGAUGGUUGAAAUCAUGGUAAACCAGGCCACUUCAUGUGAUCAUAAAUAAUUGGUGGCAAAAUUUAUCUUAGUGAUGACCGGAAAGGAUAUUGAGAAGGCUACAUCAAGCAUUUACCCAUUGUAGAAUGUGUUCAUUAGGAAGGUCAUGAUCUUAAAGGCUCCUAUGUUUGAUAAAAUUAUGGAUGCAAGUACUAUGUUAUGCGAUAGAGAAGAAGUACUUGGAGAUGUUGCAAGAGGCGACAUGAUUAAGUGGCCAAAAACUUAUGUAAAUCUUGUAGGAGAGCUACCAAAUUAGAGUGGGAAGAUUAGUAGUCAAAAAUUUAGUUUUAAUGUUUGGCGUGCAAUUUUAGGUUGAUACUUGAUAUAAUUUAUCUUUCAGUUUGUAGUCAGAGAUUCUAUGUUUUGUAUGUUAUUUUGAGUAUCAAUAUAAUGUUAAAUUUAUCCUUAA